rnacentral:rRNA from 1 species
AUGGCAAAUUGGUUAAUAUUCCAAUACCAACAUUAGUGCGCGAUGGAAGGACGCUUAGGGCUAAGGGGGCUAGCGGAUGGAAGUGCUAGUCUAAGGUCGUAGGAGGUUAUACAGGCAAAUCCGUAUAACAAUACUCCGAGAACUGAAAGGCUUUUUGAAGUCUUCGGAUGGAUAGAAGAACCCCUGAUGCCGUCGAGCCAAGAAAAGUUUCUAAGUUUAGCUAAUGUUGCCCGUACCGUAAACCGACACAGGUGGGUGGGAUGAGUAUUCUAAGGCGCGUGGAAGAACUCUCUUUAAGGAACUCUGCAAAAUAGCACCGUAUCUUCGGUAUAAGGUGUGGUUAGCUUUGUAUUAGGAUUUACUCCGAAAGCAAGGAAACUUACAACAAAGAGUCCCUCCCGACUGUUUACCAAAAACACAGCACUCUGCUAACUCGUAAGAGGAUGUAUAGGGUGUGACGCCUGCCCGGUGCUCGAAGGUUAAUUGAUGGGGUUAGCAUUAGCGAAGCUCUUGAUCGAAGCCCGAGUAAACGGCGGCCGUAACUAUAACGGUCCUAAGGUAGCGAAAUUCCUUGUCGGUUAAAUACCGACCUGCAUGAAUGGCGUAACGAGAUGGGAGCUGUCUCAAAGAGGGAUCCAGUGAAAUUGUAGUGGAGGUGAAAAUUCCUCCUACCCGCGGCAAGACGGAAAGACCCCGUGGACCUUUACUACAGCUUGACACUGCUACUUGGAUAAGAAUGUGCAGGAUAGGUGGGAGGCUUUGAGUAUAUGACGCCAGUUGUAUAUGAGCCAUUGUUGAGAUACCACUCUUUCUUAUUUGGGUAGCUAACCAGCUUGAGUUAUCCUCAAGUGGGACAAUGUCUGGUGGGUAGUUUGACUGGGGCGGUCGCCUCCCAAAUAAUAACGGAGGCUUACAAAGGUUGGCUCAGAACGGUUGGAAAUCGUUCGUAGAGUAUAAAGGUAUAAGCCAGCUUAACUGCAAGACAUACAAGUCAAGCAGAGACGAAAGUCGGUCUUAGUGAUCCGGUGGUUCUGUGUGGAAGGGCCAUCGCUCAAAGGAUAAAAGGUACCCCGGGGAUAACAGGCUGAUCUCCCCCAAGAGCUCACAUCGACGGGGAGGUUUGGCACCUCGAUGUCGGCUCAUCGCAUCCUGGGGCUGGAGCAGGUCCCAAGGGUAUGGCUGUUCGCCAUUUAAAGCGGUACGCGAGCUGGGUUCAGAACGUCGUGAGACAGUUCGGUCCCUAUCUGCCGUGGGCGUAAGAAGAUUGAAGAGAUUUGACCCUAGUACGAGAGGACCGGGUUGAACAAACCACUGGUGUAGCUGUUGUUCUGCCAAGAGCAUCGCAGCGUAGCUAAGUUUGGAAAGGAUAAACGCUGAAAGCAUCUAAGCGUGAAGCCAACUCUAAGAUGAAUCUUCUCUAAGCUCUCUAGAAGACUACUAGUUUGAUAGGCUGGGUGUGUAAUGGAUGAAAGUCCUUUAGCUGACCAGUACUAAUAGAGCGUUUGGCUUAUCUUUAAUAAAGCAU